GAUGAAGAUGGAUCCUCACACUUAUACUGUGCUUUAAGAAAGAUGAAAUAAAGACCAAAUCUCUGGAUAUAUGUAGGACCAUGUGACCAGUUCUCCCCAGUGGGAUGUGAACAGAAGUGAUCCAUUUUUGAGAGAGAGGAAGGAAGGAAGGAAGGAAG